CGUAACCUCGAUUACAGAUCAUCAUGAAACAUCGUAGUAGCAUUUAGUAUAAACUCAAUGAAACACGUUCCCAGUUGAAAAUCAAUUAAAAUGCUUCUACAUUUCAUAAUUCUUAACCUAAUUAUUAAUGUUGUCUGGUUGCAAGAGAUCUGUUUAAAAGAGUUUCAAGCAUUUAAUGGAAAAUGCUAUAGGAAUAUUGGUCAGUUGAAUUUUCGUGUGGCCAGCAACCGUUGCCAAUAUCUGGGUUCAUCUUUACCUGAGUUUGCCAAUGAAAAUGAACUGAAUAAUUUAAUUAAGAUUUUACCCAAAUUAAAUGUAUCUGAAGAUCAAGCUAUUUGGUUGGGUAUACGUGCAUUACCCUCAACGAGAGUAUUUAGGUGGUUACAUAAUGGUUACACCAUUGACUAUAUGAAAUGGUUACCCAAUCAGCCAGAUAAUAGAAAUCAAAUGGAAGAUUGUAUCAAAUUUGUAAUGGGAAAAAAUUUUACUGGUGCUGAUGAUGUUAUAUGUGAAUGUAAGGAACCGUUCACCAUAUGCCAGAUGGAAUCAAAAAUGAAAUAAAAUAUUGACCGCUUC